GUCACCCUCCGCAGGCAGCUCGGCCAGGCGGCCGCCGGGGUCCGCAGGAAUGAGGAGCAGCAUGUGAUCAGAGAGCCCCGCCCCUUCGCCCCCCACCUGACGGCAGGAUGCUCCUGCUCCAGCGCGCCGUGGCGCUGUACCUCCCGUGGUGUCUCCUGCUCGCGUCCCCCCGCCGGGCCACGGCCGACGAGGAGGCUCACUGGGGAACGGCGUUGACCGAGCAGAAGCCCACCGAGAAGCCCAGCUCCUCCUGGUGGCCACUACCAAAAUUUUCCGUCCCGGGCCUUGCCUUGCUCCCGGACAUCCCCUCCUACCUCGACCCCCGCACCCUGAUCGGCGGGAGUUCGAAUGCCGGUGACGAUCCGGCUGCCACCAGCCAGCGGCCCCCGGCGUCGACCCCCACGGCCCCAGGCCCCGAGGGGCCCUCGGCGUCGACCCCCACGGCCCCGGGCCCCGAGGGGCCCUCGGCGUCCACGCAGCGCCGGAUCACGGGCGACGGCGGCGUCGUCUCGGCCUCCGACGCGCCUGGCGGCGGCGGCGGCGGCGGCUCGGCCGGGAGCACGCCGUUCUCCGCCGGUCCGGGGCGGACGGGCGCCCCCCCCCGCGGACCCCGCGAGCGCACGUGACCCCCGCCGCCCCGAAGACCCCCCGGCCACGUCCGAACCCCCCGGGCCCCCGGCGACGGCCUCGUCCGCCGUCGCCACGGAGACGGAUCUGAGCGCCGGCGUGACCCCCGACACCGUACAGGGGGGGGCGUGGCCGCAGGGUUCCCUGACCCCGCCUCCCACCCCGGGGACCACGCCGCUGACGACAUCAAAGACGCCGAGCGGGGGGUCGGCUGGGGCGGGGGGGGGAGGGCCCGUCAGUCCGUCCGGGGCGCCCCCCAGCGCUGCCACAGAGGAGAGGUCCACGGCGGGGUCUAGCCCCACCUCCGGGGGCCGGGAGGUUGCCUCCCCGGUGCCAGGAGAGACUCCCAGCAGCGAGGAUACGAACGAUGAGGAGGACGACGAGGAGUCCGUCGUAGCAGGGAACCGGACGAAGAGCACGAGCUCGGCGGCAGAGGUUUCCACGGCCGCGUUCCAACCGCCGCCGACGCCCGGGCGACUCACGACGGGUAUGGGGGGAGAGGGGGGAGGGCGGCUGGGGGGGAGACGCCCCUGGAACGCGGUCAUCCAGGGUCUCAACAUUAAAGCUGCAUAA
ensembl:lncRNA